rnacentral:rRNA from 1 species
GACGAACGCUGGCGGCGUGCCUAAUACAUGCAAGUAGAACGCUGAAGAGAGGAGCUUGCUCUUCUUGGAUGAGUUGCGAACGGGUGAGUAACGCGUAGGUAACCUGCCUUGUAGCGGGGGAUAACUAUUGGAAACGAUAGCUAAUACCGCAUAACAAUGGAUGACUCAUGUCAUUUAUUUGAAAGGGGCAAAUGCUCCACUACAAGAUGGACCUGCGUUGUAUUAGCUAGUAGGUAAGGUAACGGCUCACCUAGGCGACGAUACAUAGCCGACCUGAGAGGGUGAUCGGCCACACUGGGACUGAGACACGGCCCAGACUCCUACGGGAGGCAGCAGUAGGGAAUCUUCGGCAAUGGGGGCAACCCUGACCGAGCAACGCCGCGUGAGUGAAGAAGGUUUUCGGAUCGUAAAGCUCUGUUGUAAGUCAAGAACGAGUGUGAGAGUGGAAAGUUCACACUGUGACGGUAGCUUACCAAAAAAGGGACGGCUAACUACGUGCCAGCAGCCCCGGGUAAUACGUAGGUCCCCAGCGUUUGUCCGGAUUUAUUGGGCGGUAAAGCGAGCGCGGGGGGGUUUGAUAAGUCUGAAGUUAA